UACAGAGGUCCCAAGCGUUGUUCGGAUUUACUGGGCGUAAAGCGUGCGCAGGCGGUUAUGUAAGACAGAUGUGAAAUGCCCGGGCUUAACCUGGGAACUGCAUUUGUGACUGGGUUGCUUGAAUUCGGGAGAGGAUAGCGGAAUUCCCAGUGUAGAGGUGAAAUUCGUAGAUAUUGGGAAGAACACCGGUGGCGAAGGCGGCUAUCUGGACCGACAUUGACGCUGAGGCGCGAAAGCGUGGGGAGCAAACAGG
rnacentral:rRNA from 1 species